GUACUGCUGAACAGUCUCAAACUAGGACGAAACAGCUGUCCAGUAU
rfam:Trichobilharzia regenti genome assembly, scaffold: TRE_scaffold0002307